rnacentral:rRNA from 1 species
UACCCGCAGCACAAGUGGUGGUCAUUAUUAUUGGGCCUAAAGCGUCCGUAGCUGGCUUGUUAGAUGCCUGGGUAAAUCGAUGCGCUCAACGCAUCGAACUCCGGGUAGACCGGCAAGCUUGGGACCGGGAGAGGCGUGAGCUACUCGAGGGGUAGGGGUAAAAUCCUGUAAUCCUUCGGGGAGGACCAGUGGCGAAGGCGUCACGCUAGAACGGCUCCGACAGUGAGGGACGAAGCCCUGGGGCG